UGAAACUAGAUACAAGCGAGCGGCGGACGGGUGAGUAACACGUGGGUAACCUGCCCAAGAGACUGGGAUAACACCUGGAAACAGAUGCUAAUACCGGAUAACAACACUAGACGCAUGUCUAGAGUUUGAAAGAUGGUUCUGCUAUCACUCUUGGAUGGACCUGCGGUGCAUUAGCUAGUUGGUAAGGUAACGGCUUACCAAGGCAAUGAUGCAUAGCCGAGUUGAGAGACUGAUCGGCCACAUUGGGACUGAGACACGGCCCAAACUCCUACGGGAGGCAGCAGUAGGGAAUCUUCCACAAUGGACGAAAGUCUGAUGGAGCAACGCCGCGUGAGUGAAGAAGGGUUUCGGCUCGUAAAGCUCUGUUGGUAGUGAAGAAAGAUAGAGGUAGUAACUGGCCUUUAUUUGACGGUAAUUACUUAGAAAGUCACGGCUAACUACGUGCCAGCAGCCGCGGUAAUACGUAGGUGGCAAGCGUUGUCCGGAUUUAUUGGGCGUAAAGCGAGUGCAGGCGGUUCAAUAAGUCUGAUGUGAAAGCCUUCGGCUCAACCGGAGAAUUGCAUCAGAAACUGUUGAACUUGAGUGCAGAAGAGGAGAGUGGAACUCCAUGUGUAGCGGUGGAAUGCGUAGAUAUAUGGAAGAACACCAGUGGCGAAGGCGGCUCUCUGGUCUGCAACUGACGCUGAGGCUCGAAAGCAUGGGUAGCGAACAGGAUUAGAUACCCUGGUAGUCCAUGCCGUAAAACGAUGAGUGCUAAAUGUUGGGAGGUUU
rnacentral:rRNA from 1 species